AAAAAACAUGCCCCUGCGAGUGUGCAAGGCAAUAUACUGAAGCAGAACCACAUCCCAUACAUACCUGAGAUUGAAACAAACACAUUUCAGAUAAAAAUAACUGGGUUUUUAAAGAAACAAAAAUUCUCACUACAUUCAGGUUGACUAAUUGUCUUAAGAUGUUCUUUUAAAAUUAAAACAAUAAUUUAAUUUAGUUAAUUCUUUGUGUGUAUGUGUGCAUGUGUGUGUGACAAACAUGCCAUAAAACAUGUAUCAGAGAUCCAAGGACAACUUUCAGGAGACAGCUUUUAUCUUUAAUUUUGUUACUAAAAGAACUUUCUUGUUGUUUCUUCUUCUGCAGAAGCUAGACGGCUCAAUCCUAGAUGAUUCUUACAUCUCUGUCUCCACAGAAGGCCAGCAUUACAAUUGCCAUCAUAGGAUCCAGGUUUUUCUUCUUAAUUAUGGGUCCAGGUCAGAAACAUACCCAUUGCCAAGCUUGGCUACCAGCAUUGGCUCCUCUGGACCAUAGAUUCAGCUGACUCCCAAGGAAAUACUUCUCAGAAGAUUUCACUUCAAUGGUACCAAUCUCUUUUUUAAUCAUUUUUUAAUUUUCAGUUUUAUCUGACCAGCGAAGGUUUCACUUCAAUGAUGCUGACCUCUUUGAAAAAUCACAGUUAUUCCUUCAGCCCCACUGUGAACAGCAACACAGAUUCUUAGUCAAAAUACCAUAUGAGUGUGCCACAGACCAGUCCCAGUCGGCCUCCCUCAAUCUGUGGAAAAAAUUUGGGGGUUCCUGUUACAGGCAAGCAAGGAGUUGGUGAGAAAAGGGUGACAAACAGACAUGAACAUAAGGGAGUGUGGUAUCUGAAUGUAUUUUCUCAAAGCAAGCACCAGUCUUAUAAUCCAGAAGAAAAACAAGAAAGCUAGGCGAAUACAUCCGUCAAGGUACACUGGUUCUUUUUUUUUUUUUUUUUUUUAGUUUUUUAUUUAUUUUUUGUUAUUUUACUUUACUUAUUUAUUUUUUAUUUAUCUUCCUCCCCAUUCCUAAUUAGCAUUCCACCUUUUUCUUUUAAAAAAAUUUUUUAUUAGCUAUUUUCUUCAUUUACAUUUCCAAUGCUAUCUCAAAAGUCCCCCAUACCCUCCCCCUCACCCACUCCCCGGUACACUGGUUCUUAACACAAAACAAAGAAAAUGCAUACAUAAAAAGAUGGUGGGAGCCAGGCUGUGUUUACAACUGAGAAUAGAAACAACCCUUAAUCAAGAUCAGCUAAACACAGGAGCCAGGUGAACACUCUGAUACAAUGCUAGUCUAUUGUUAAACCCACCUCCAGGGGUCCUUUAGUAAAUACCUGAUUAUGCUUUUCCUCUGGGCCUAGUGAAAAACCUGCACCAGGGGAAUUCCAUUCUACUAACAAUUCAUGAAUAAUACUACAACCCACCUAUCUCCUAGGCUAUUGUGUAUUCCUGUGUAUGGGUGUGACUCGGCUAUUGUCCUAAGUAAUUACUAUGUAGACUAGCCCUGAGCUUUUCUAGCUCUAUUCAAGUAAAAUACUACAAGAAAGCAUGCAAGACCCUCCACAAUAUCACAGGGACAGAUCUGGGGCAUUCUAGCU
rnacentral:lncRNA from 1 species